rnacentral:tRNA from 1 species
ACAGAUGGCUGAGUUGGUUUAAGGCACCUGACUGCUAAUUAGGUUUACAUGCGAAUACAUGUAACGUGGGGUCGUAGCCCACUCUGUACG